GUCACCUGCAGGAGCACAGACAGCGCGUGGGCAGCCGCACAGCUGCAGCCUGCUGUUCUUUGUGGCCCCCGCACAGCCCCCCAACCGCGGAACAGCUCCACCCAACCCUCCUGCUUCUCCAUCAGAACUUCCAUGUCUGCACGCAAAGCACACAAAGGCAGAACCAAAGUGAGAUAAUCGCACUCACAUCCUUCCGCCUCGUUUCUGGCUGCAGAGAGCUGCCAGGCGCUCAUCGGCCUUCCCCCGGUUUUAGUGCAGGGCUGGGUAGCUGCUGCUGGCUCUGCAGCCCGGCUCCACGAGUUGCCCCUGUCCUGGGGCUGGGCGCUGCAUUGCACCGUGUGCUGCUCUCGGAAAGGGAUGCUCUGCCCUCGAACCAACAGCAUGCCUGGGGCAGGGUGCUGGCCAGCCAGCAGCUGUGCCCCGGUGCUGUGGUUACGAGCACACGGCCGUCCUGAAGGCCACACGGUGCCUCUUGGGAACGAGAGGGGGAUGAUGGUCAUCAAGGGGGCAGGCUGCUGUGCCUGCGGUGCGUCCCAAAGAAACUGCGUCUGGAGGGAGAGAAAGCGGUUGUAGCUUAGCUCUGGAGACCCUUGAUGAGAGACAGGAAGGAAACGUCUUCCGUGCCGGUGCUCACUACACAUCUCCCCACAUUUGCUCUCCUGCGCACACCUCAGCCUUAGAUUCAAAUCAUCCAGGUGGACGGCGUCUGAUCUGCCUGCAGCAGAGCUCAGAGGCUCCCAUGCACUGCCUGUAACAUCGCCCUGAGCUGCAGCAGGGUUUGUGGAAAGAAACGCCACAGCCUUGUGGGGAGGCUUCAGUGAUGAAGGAUCUGACCCAGCCCUGUACAGUCCUUUGCUUCUGAAAAGAUCUGCCCAGAGCUAGGGUGGAACUCGUGGUUUCAAGUUCUGCUUUGCUUUGUCUGGGAGCAGAAAAGGCAGCUACCAUCAGUUCUUACAGAUCAAAUCGCACCUUACACUUGUUUUGUUAAAUUAAAGGGACGUUUCCAAUUUGCUGUAAGGCACAGAAUACUCCCACAGCCCACAUAAUUCCUGCAAUUCUGGUAUCUGGAGUUUGUCAGCAUCCUUGCAAGGUGUGCUGUCCUUCCAAGCAAGAGUGGAAGGCCUUUAUGGAAGCAGGUGGUGCCACCAGGAGAGGACCUUGCAAGGCUUUUCACAACUGCCAGUCAACAAUUAGCACUUUCUCCACAUAUCAGAUAUCAGCCAUCAGUUCUGCUGCAGCCCUUACAGCCCACUGGAGUCCAGUGAUGACAGACUGCUGGCUUUCUCAUCAUCUGAUUUCAGAACACUGGCACCUGUGGCCAGGUUUGGGAACUGUAGGCAAGCAAAUCUAGCUCCAAAUUUUCCCUGGGCAUAACCCUGCACGGCCCAGUUUUCUUCAGCUGUGCACCUUGAAAUAAUCCAGGACAUGACAGUGGCAAAGCCAAGGGCUUAGACUACAGCAAGCUCUUGCAGAGCAAACAUGACUGUCAAGGGGAAGCCCCACACCAAGGACUGAGCUCUGAUGUGUGUCCAGCACGUGCGCUGUCAGGAGAUGUGCAGGGGGCUCUUCACCUUCCAUGGGUGGGGGCUGUGUAACACAGAGGCUGGGGGGUUUAGGAAGAGGCACUGCUUGCAGUGCAGAAUUCACCGAGAUGUUUUUAGGUAUUUCUACACUUCCACCCAGACCCUGUUUGCUGCUUGUGCUUCUUUGCCAUGCUCCUAGCACUUCUGUGCUCGCAGCUCAGAGAACUCCUGCUCGGGAAUUAAUCUUACUUAGACAGGAGAACCUUAUGGCCCCGAAGAAGCAGACCACGCCGUGCUGCACGAGGGGACAGCGAAAGGCAGUGUUAUCAGACUGUCUUUUGGAAUGAGAAUGAGGGACCUUCUGAGGGACGGUGCCCAGGGGCUCUGUGUGAGUGCCUGGUGUGCCCCCCGCCCUUGUAGGAGAAAAAGACCCGCGGACCCGGGCAGCACGUUGGACCUCGUUUAAAUGAGCCGCAUUCGGCCACAAGCGGCGGCGUCCUGUGGUGGCCUCGAAGAACCAUCGGGGCAAGCUUCAGUUACCUGGAUCUCAGAGAAUAUCCUGAGGCUGCAUGGAGUCAUACUGCACGUGCUCUGUCUUAGGAAAGAAGCACCCGACUUACAGCAAAGUUGAAACUACAGAAAUGGGCGAGAGAUACAAAACUGCAAACUGCUCUGAGCCCUACAGGGAAUUACAGACCUCAGGGUGGAGUAGGAUGAAAAUCCCUAUGAUUGCACGGCAGCAAAGGGCAGCACUGCUUCCAGGUGCCUCCUGGCACGAGCUGUCAGCCCCACAGGACUUCACGGAGGGGCCUCAUCUCCUUAGGAGACACCCAUGGCCCAGUACUGCUCCUGGAGCCACAGACUGCCUUUAUACACCAUGGAUGAGCACAGAUGAAAAGAAGUUGUUGCCUGCCACAGAAGAGCUGUCUUGGUCACUGGUUCCAUAAGAGGCAUAAUAGCAAAACUGCAAAGACUUCAGUCUGAGGACAUUUUACUGCAGUCAAGUACUGUAGUGAAUAACCAUAAAGAAAGCACGCCAAGAAGUGAGGGAGGAGUGCUUUUAAGAGAGCCUCUCACUGCUGUCAGAAAUGCCCAUGAAUUAGUCUGUGCCUGCCAGAAGGGGGAGAACAGUGGAGGACGUUUCAAGACGUGCCUCCGGAUUCCAAAAGCCAGUGGAAUACUGCAUUUGCCCUCAAAGUUACUGCUCCAGGAGUUGCUUUGCCAUGGCAACAAAGUACAGCAGACUGCCCGUAUCCAGCUCUCCACAACCUCCUUGCUUCCCUUAAACAACACACUCACUCCCAGCAAAGGGUCACAAGGAAGCAGUGUGUGAACGUACCUGGUACACUCCUCUCGUGCUCGGGACGAUGCAGUCUCCUUGAAGAGGGAGCUGCUCUGCUUGAAAAACGGCUCAUACUUGUCAGUGCCACACGCUGGGUAAAUGCGCCGGUAGCUGCCCAGGUGGGAGUUCUCAUAGUCCUCUGCCUCUGAGAGCCAGGCUGCCUGGCUGCUCUCUGCCUCCUCAUGUCUGCAAACCAGGAGACAGCGCAGGCAGGCGGGGAGCUGCGAUGGGAGGCUCCAGGUAUUUUACAAUGGACAUAGCUCGAUUUUUGCUCCUGUCUUUCCCUGUCUGAGAGCCCGUUUCACACAUGUUUGCUGCUGGGAACCAACAGUUCCCACUUGUUCAUUCUCUACAUGGCGAAUGCUGCUGGAGCAUUUUCAGAUGCCUCCCCUGCUGCCGGGAUCACACCCUGCCCCUCAGCCUUUUCACCCAACUAAGCUGGUUGCCAGAGUUCAAUUACAGUGUUUGUGUUCAAGGAGCGUUUGCCACUCCGCACUCAGCUGGGAGCUUUCAGCCAGCAGGGAGCUGGGAGCAGUGGAGGCUGCAGGGACAUGAAGUGUACGGAGUAACGAGCUCAGCUUCCCCAGCCUGCAGUUUUCUCAGGUUUCCUAAUUGAAAUGGGAGCUGGAGGCAGUUCCUGCCUUGCCCUGCGCAGCAGGAAAAGCCCGGGCAGCAGCCUCAUCUAAAAUGGCCUCGAGAGGCCGUGCAGAUUAAUAAAUCAUGAAAGGGCAUGCAGACAAAGAAGGGUGGGAAAAUGCUCAACCCUGGGAAAGGAAUCCUGCUUUGGAGAAGAGCCCUGUGCCCCGCGGUGCUCCUGGUCCCUGAAGCAGUGCUAUGACCCGUCCUGUGAGAGUCACUGCGAGACCAGCAACGUACUGCUGCAGCCUGACAGCGCUGAAGGACACGAGGACAUGCAGCUGUAAGGGGAAGCCCAGGGAUCAUAGCACAGGGAGUCCCAGAUCUCUUCUGAGAUCAGUUCUGGACAGGCUCUCCCUAUCCAGAGUGCAGAUGGCUUGGGUGGGCUCUGUCAGAGGCUGCACAGAGCCACGGCUUCAGGUAGCACAAGUGUCAGAGCCUGUCUUCUCCUCACAGGGACCUGCAGUGCCAUUGGGAAGGCAGUACCUGGACACACGAGGAGACCGAUGAGCCUGCAGGAGUCGUUCCUUUGCCUGCUGUUUGUCUUCCUCCAUCGCUUUCCUUUUGCUACAGGCGUGCACAUUUAUCAAGUUGAUGGUGUCAAAGAGAAGAGCAUCCUUCACCUCACGGUCCAGGUUUCUCCUUCUGGGAUCGAUGUACCUCAUGGUGGCAAACCGGGCCAGACCCUCCUUGUAGACAAAAAUCCUCAGUGGGUCACAAGAUGUGACCAGCACAUAGACACGCAUGUCAAACUUAAAGCCAUCAAUAAGGAAAGGCUGCGAGGAAAAAGGCAGGAGCAAGCAUGAGAUAAGGGAACAUUGCUGGGUGUGCUGCUGAGUCCCCAAGGCCAGCUGCUCCACCUGCACUGCCUGCGCCACUUCCAGCAGCCCAGCAGCGAGGAGGAAGGCAAGCUGCGCCCCUGGCUUCAAGAGACACGGGGCAAAGGACGAGGAGCAGGCAGGGUGCGGGAAGAGCAAGGGAGCUGCAGUCCUUCCCCGUGCCUCAGGUCAUCCCCCUACCUUAGAGAUAUACUGCUGACAGAUCAUGUGCUCUCCGUGCCUGAUCUCCCCUGGGUCGCGUGUUAUGAAGAUGCCUCGGCCUUGGCAGCCGCUGUCGGGCUUGCAGAUGAACGUUCUGUUCUUCCUCCUGCGCCUGUAGGCCUGGAAGUCCCCGUAGCUGUGCAGAGGGGGUGACUGUUACAGGCUGCAGAACACGAGCCCCUCACUUCUCUGCUAACACUCAGACAUUCAAACUACUGUGCUAACAACAGACCUAAGUUCUGCAGCGGGGAAAUGGUACAGCAAUUGCUGGCUUACAUCAGGAAUACAUUAUUUAGUCCUUGAGCAACCUGACAAAGCUCUUCCAGUUCCAGCUUUUUCUUGCACACAUCUCUACCUCUACCAGGAGUUUCAUGGGAAACAUUCAGCACUAUUUGUACAGAAGCCAGUGAGGAUUUUGGCUCUGCUGCUGCAGAGGGAUCGGGGAAAAAUAAAACACUGCCUACAAAGGAGGAGGAGGUCACAAGCUCUUACAUCCCCUUUUGUUCCAGCUCAUCAGCAAAUGGUCAGCAGGCUGCAGCCAGGAUGCUGUGAGCAGGGUGCAGAGGCUCACAGGCUGCGCUCACGUAUCGCAUCACCUGCUUGGUCUGCAAAAGCAGCUCCAUUGGGAAAUGAUGCCUUGAAGAGUCAAGCCAACAUGCCAGUUAAUUAUUUGCUGUUGAUGGAGGAACACUGUCUUGUACUACAGGGAAAUGAGGAGCCAUACCGACCCUUCUUGCGUGAGCGGAGGGCACUGAACCCAGCCUGCGUGGGGAGAGAGCCUCUUCUGCUCUGCAUUUACCUCUGCUGUUCCCGGUGAGCUGCAGAGGGACGUUCCCCAGAAACACAGAUGUUAUGCUUCUCAUCCUGCCCUGUGGCUUUCAGGGCGGGUCCCUCUUCCGAGGUUCAGCUCUUUGGCCACUGAGCACAGUAAACAUCGUAGGGGAUGUCAUUCCACAGGAAACCUCAGAGGCCAUUCCCAUCCAAGCCCUAGCUGUGAAGCACAGUGCUUCUUACUUCCUGAUUCCAUACCCCCGUUCUCUGCUGCAUUCAUGUGUAUCACUCACUCAGCUGGCAGGCUCCACGUGCGGGGAAAAAUAUUGUAUUCCUUGGGGAAGAGUUUGAGCAUGCGGUUGAGGUUGCGAGCCAACAAAUCCUUCCGGCAGAUCUCAAUCAUGCCAGGAAAAUGGUUGAUUUUCUGAAAGAGGUGCAGAAGAAAAAGAGAGUUGUCAGUGAUAAUCCUUGAGGUCAAGGAAAGGCAGUGUAUGGAGAAACAAGCACGCAGAACAGGAAGCCAGGCCAGUUGUUGCCUUGAACGCCUGCUGAAGGACAAGAGUUCGCCAACUGCCUUAUCUGACUUCAGCAGCGUGAUUUAUCUACUCAUUCCAUCUCAGCCCUGAAGCUCUGCCUUCCUACAGUAUUGCAGCUUCUGAAAGGGAGCAGCUUGUCAGCAAGAGCCAUUUAUUUCACUCUACAUUCAAGGGGCUGGCAGCCUUCCAGCUCCCCACUGACUGUCAGGCUGUUACUGAUGGCAUCACUGCAGACACAACAGAAGCAGCGACUGAUGAACCCGCGCAUCUGGGACCAACACACAGAACGUGGGGCACAAGCGCUACUUUUAGACAAAUCGGUUUUGUUCUGCAACACUUUGUUCCACUAACAGCUCCGUCUCGUCCUCCUGUCCUGAGCUCUUCCUGCUGGGCACCCCCUCUCCAUGGGGAACUUACCUGAAACCGCUUCAUUUCCAUCACACGUUCCAGAGAGACAGAGCAGUCAGUCCAGUACACCGUCCACUCCUCGUUUUCUCCCGCUUCUCUCAGCCCGCAGCACAGCGCAGCACGACGCACUGCGUGGAAGGAAGCACAGGCAAAGGUCCAGGGAGGAGGAUACGAAUGCCAGGGAUGGUUAAAUCCCCAGAGUAAACAGGAGGGUGGGCAAAACUCUUCAAGCUGCACUGCCAGCCCCAGGGAUGACAAGGUCUAAGCAGGACCCUUCAGAAGACCUCAGAAACACAAACUCUAUCAGCUAAAUUCAACACAGCCUCUGCCUGCAGGUGCACUGGGAACCAUCGGCCUGCAAGUCCACUUGCCUUGGGGUUCCAGAACAUCCCCUGCAUUACAGCAGGCUUGAAUCCACCCUGGGUUUGAUGCCACACAGCUAAAUACAGGUCUUUGAAAGGUGUUGGUUUCACCUUCAAAAUCAAAGGCUAAUUGGUAGCAGAAUGCAUGAGCUUUGGAGUGGAAGGCUGUUGCUGCAAUGAUCAGUGUCGGUGCCAAUUCUGAAUUUGCCCUCUUACACAGCUGGCGAGCUGAUGAACGAACCACGUGUGAAACAGAAGCAGGUUAGGAAACACAGGGGGCAGCUCUAAGUCAGAGGCCUCUGUCUUUCCACACACCCACAGCCAGGUGGCCAGAACUGCCCAACAGCCCACAUGCUAUUGAGGCCGUUUGGGCCCUCCUCCAUCACAACCCUGCCACCUUGCAUUGGCUGUUGCCUUGUUGCUUAUUCUGGGCUGACCAGCUCGGCCCAGCAGCACCACAAAGAGCAGCCCUGGGCACCACAGCUCUGGAGGUGGGCAUGAAACUGUCCUGGUUCCUAUGGAGCUCACAUUGCCACACCAUGUUCUGUCGUGGAUCCUCAUCCACCUCCCAUCACCAAAGCUCCUGAGCAUGGCCGCAGGUGAAACACGUGUCGCUCUGGGUGAAAACAGCAUUCCUCACACAGCUGACAAGGCUGUGACCUUCAGCAAUGCAAACACAGUAGUAAUGCUAGAGUAGUCAUUAGCAAAUUGACUAAUAACAUCCAUCAAAUCGUUCUUUUGAGAAAUAGCUUGUGGCAGCAAAGAAGAGCGAGACAGGAGCCUGAAGCAGCUGCCUAGAGCACGUCAUUGCAGAGGAAUAUCAAAGAGAUAUCGCAGCUACUGAUCCAGCCUGCUGCACCGCCUGCUUCAACUUAAACUGUUUGUAGCUUUCACUCCAUUUUCACAAGCACUGCUACCAUCCUGCACUGUAACUGCCUCCAGCCAAACCCUUCUCACCAAUUUUAGCAGGAGUGUGGCACAUACAGGAACGGAGGGUGGUGAGGGCUUGCAAUGCUGCUGUGCAGCUUGGGUCUCUUUAAAGCACAAAGCUCCUCAGCCCACAGUGGAGAAUAUUCACAGGGAUCCAAGUCGCUCACAAGCAGUAAACACAUAACACAGAGGUGACUCUGCAGUGGAAAUUCAAUACCAGCCCACCUCGCCAGCUGAACCUGCACGGCUUGCUGCAGGCUGGCUCCAUCCUUGGGGCCGCAUCCUCGGACUUACCGCUCUCGUACUUGCAGCUGCUCAGGUUAAUGGAUGGGAUGCUGGAGUUGAAAGAGACGACACAAGAGCUGCUCAGUGAGGCGACCAGCCCAAGGGGAGUGGGCACAAAGGAGACAACUGUCCACCACACCCGCACACCCCACAGAGCCAACUACCAAGUCCGGCCCGUCGCCACGGGCCGUGAGGCAGA